rnacentral:rRNA from 1 species
UACGGGGGGGGCAAGCGUUGUUCGGAAUUACUGGGCGUAAAGGGCUCGUAGGCGGCCAACUAAGUCAAACGUGAAAUCCCUCGGCUUAACCGGGGAACUGCGUCUGAUACUGGAUGGCUUGAGUUUGGGAGAGGGAUGCGGAAUUCCAGGUGUAGCGGUGAAAUGCGUAGAUAUCUGGAGGAACACCGGUGGCGAAGGCGGCGAUCCUGGACCAACACGUGACGCUGAGGAGCGAAAGCCAGGGGAGCAAACGGG